rnacentral:lncRNA from 1 species
UUAGAGGUUCUACUACCUCCCAAUAGUGCCACAGGAUGGUGACCAAGGACUUGUGGGGGGAGUCUAUUUCUAAACUACAGCAUAUGGUUCAAUACCAUUUACCUCUAUCCCACUCCCCUACGCUACGCAUAUCACCUUCAUCCUGAUGGUACAAUUAUAACAAUAGUUGUCCAGUAUUUCUAUUAUUAAACUACCACAGUAUUGCUGACCUUACAGCCAAGCAAUUAUGAGUCACGACGAUGUUUCUUUUACUAAACAAAUUCUUGUUUUUUUCUGCUGGUUACCACAGACUUUCUGCGGGGCUGUUUCAUUGCCUACCUUUAAAAAAUGGCUUCAUUUUCUAUAUAUUUGUCUUUAAUUUUUUCCCACAGGCUUUAUUAGAUCUGUUAAAUUCCUUUAAAUGUUCUUUUCUAAAGGUUCAAACAUUUUCAAUUCUAUUUUUUUCCCCCUUGGGUGAGGGGUAGGUGCACAGUCCACCAGCCUUCAUAAUAAAUGGAGUUGACAUCAUUGCAUUCUAAAGAUUAAAGUCAUAACUAAGAGCUAAAAAUGGAACGUUUAACUCCCAAGGAUCCCCUUGAAGAUUUUACUCCCUUUGGCAAAUAUUGUGACCACUUUUGGGAGGUGUGGGAUGUGGGCUGGGAUAGAUCCUGGGGCCUUGUGUAUGCUAAGCAUGCGCUCUACCACUGAGUUACACCCUCCCUAUGAGCACUUCAUAGAUCUGAAUACUCGACUAGACAAACACUAUGACCUCUUUCAAGUGCGUAUAAUCAUCAUCCAUUUCAAACACACCAUUUUCCAUUUGCUAACUUUUAGUUAUAAGGUGUGUCUUCUCCUUGUCUGCCAAGUAUUACAGGGAUUUUUCUUUCCUUGAUCAUCUCAAGGCCCAACUGGUCACAAGUAAAUUUUUGGAUGUAUCUGUCCAAACAAACACACAAAAAAAUUAGUACAUUGAUAAAGGAAUUAGUAUGUAAUGGGAUCCUAUAUUGCCGGUUAACAGUUUUAUAAAUAUAAUGCUUCUAUU